rnacentral:rRNA from 1 species
GACGAACGCUGGCGGCGUGCUUAACACAUGCAAGUCGAACGAAAAGACGGAAAGAGCUUGCUCUUUCCGGAAUUGAGUGGCAAACGGGUGAGUAACACGUAAACAACCUGCCUUCAGGAUGGGGACAACAGACGGAAACGACUGCUAAUACCGAAUAAGUUCCAAGGGCCGCAUGGCCCAUGGAAGAAAAGGUGGCCUCUACCUGUAAGCUAUCGCCUGAAGAGGGGUUUGCGUCUGAUUAGCUGGUUGGGGGGGUAACGGCCCACCAAGGCGACGAUCAGUAGCCGGUCUGAGAGGAUGAACGGCCACACUGGAACUGAGACACGGUCCAGACUCCUACGGGAGGCAGCAGUGGGGAAUCUUCCGCAAUGGGCGAAAGCCUGACGGAGCAACGCCGCGUGAGUGAUGACGGCCUUCGGGUUGUAAAACUCUGUGAUCCGGGACGAAAAGGCAGAGUGCGAAGAACAAACUGCAUUGACGGUACCG